CCUACGGGCGGCUGCAGUCGAGAAUCAUUCACAAUGGGGGAAACCCUGAUGGUGCGACGCCGCGUGGGGGAAUGAAGGUCUUCGGAUUGUAAACCCCUGUCAUGUGGGAGCAAAUUAAAAAGAUAGUACCACAAGAGGAAGAGACGGCUAACUCUGUGCCAGCAGCCGCGGGAAUACAGAGGUCUCAAGCGUUGUUCGGAACCACUGGGCGUAAAGCGUGCGUAGGCUGUUUCGUAAGUCGUGUGUGAAAGGCGCGGGCUCAACCCGCGGACGGCACAUGAUACUGCGAGACUAGAGUAAUGGAGGGGGAACCGGAAUUCUCGGUGUAGCAGUGAAAUGCGUAGAUAUCGAGAGGAACACUCGUGGCGAAGGCGGGUUCCUGGACAUUAACUGACGCUGAGGCACGAAGGCCAGGGGAGCGAAAGGGAUUAGAUACCCCAGUAGUC
rnacentral:rRNA from 1 species